rnacentral:rRNA from 1 species
UACGGGGGGGGCAAGCGUUGUUCGGAAUUACUGGGCGUAAAGGGCUCGUAGGCGGCCAACUAAGUCGGAUGUGAAAUCCCCAGGCUUAACCUGGGAACUGCAUCCGAUACUGGAUGGCUUGAAUUCGGGAGAGGGAUGCGGAAUUCCAGGUGUAGCGGUGAAAUGCGUAGAUAUCGGGAGGAACACCAGUGGCGAAGGCGGCUACCUGGCCCACUCUUGACGCUGAGGCGCGAAAGCUAGGGGAGCAAACAGG